CUACGGGUUGCAGCAGUGAGGAAUAUUGCACAAUGGGGGAAAUCCUGAUGCAGCAACGCCGCGUGGAGGAUGACGCAUUUCGGUGUGUAAACUCCUUUUAUAUGUCAAGAAAAUGACGGUAGCAUAUGAAUAAGCACCGGCUAACUCCGUGCCAGCAGCCGCGGUACUACGGAGGGUGCAAGCGCUACUCGGAAUCACUGGGCGUAAAGGACGCGUAGGCGGGUUGUCAAGUCAGGUGUGAAAUCCUACAGCUUAACUGUAGAACUGCACUUGAAACUGGCAGCCUAGAGUAUGGGAGGGGGAGAUGGAAUUAGUAGUGUAGGGGUAAAAUCCGUAGAUAUUACUAGGAGUAUCAAAAGCGAAGGCGAUCUCCUGGAACAUUACUGACGCUAAGGCGUGAAAGCGUGGGGAGCAAACAGGAUUAGAUACCCCAGUAGUC
rnacentral:rRNA from 1 species